rnacentral:lncRNA from 1 species
UUUUAUGCCGAUAAAAUUUUUUUAAUGAUAAUUUUUUUAAAAAAUUAAAAAUAUUAUUAUAUUUAAUUUUUAUUUGAUAUUAAUUUUUAAAAUUUUAAUUAAAAAUAAAAAUAAAAAUUUGAAUUGACUCUAAUUUCUAUCUUUAUAUAAAUCAGACAACAACAAUAAGAAUCAUCCAUUUCGAUUCCGAUCACCAACCAAAUACUUUAGGGGGUGUUUGGUUCAUAAUCAAAAUCGAAAUUGGAAUGAGAAUCGGAAUGAGUUGGAAUCGGAAUCGGAAUGGUCAAAUCCUCUGAAGCAUUUGGUUCGUGAUCGGAAUUGAAAUCGGAAUGGAUGAUUUCCAUUGUUGUUGUUUGGUUCGUCUAAAAAUAGGAAUCGGAAUCAAUUAAAAUUUUCAUUUUUACCCUUGAACUAAAAAUUUUCAAAAACUAAAUUUUUUAAAAUAACAAAUAGAUAACAAAUCAAUUAUUAUCGGAUAAUCACUUCUGCUAGUUUGACAAGAAAAUAAUAAGAAAAAUUCUAUAAGGGCAUCCGAUUUGAAGAUGCAGACUGUCCAAUUCUAAGAGAGUGAGACAAGGGGAA